AGUGUAGAUUCAGAGUUUGAUCCUGGCUCAGAGCGAACGCUGGCGGCAGGCCUAAUACAUGCAAGUCGAGCGGCCCUUCGGGGCAGCGGCGGACGGGUGAGUAACGCGUGGGAAUAUGCCCUUUGGUACGGAACAACUGAGGGAAACUUCAGCUAAUACCGUAUGUGCCCUUCGGGGGAAAGAUUUAUCGCCAUUGGAGUAGCCCGCGUUGGAUUAGGUAGUUGGUGAGGUAAAGGCUCACCAAGCCUACGAUCCAUAGCUGGUCUGAGAGGAUGAUCAGCCACACUGGGACUGAGACACGGCCCAG
rnacentral:rRNA from 1 species